UUGCCUACCUUGUUAGUCUGAUGAUCAGACACAAAUGUGGCUCUGUGGCUGGUCAUGAGGCUAACAAGGUAGGCAC
rnacentral:miRNA from 1 species